AGCGAACGCUGGCGGCAGGCUUAACACAUGCAAGUCGAGCGGGAACUUCGGUGUCAGCGGCAGACGGGUGAGUAACACGUGGGAACGUACACUUAGGUUCGGAAUAACGCUGGGAAACUAGCGCUAAUACCGGAUACGCCCUUUUGGGGAAAGGCUGGCGGCCGAAGGUUCGGCCCGCGUCUGAUUAGCUGGUUGGUGGGGUAAUGGCCUACCACGGCGAGGAUCAGUAGCUGGUCUGAGAGGAAGGUCAGCCACACUGGGACUGGGACACGGCCCAGACUCCUACGGGAGGCAGCAGUGGGGAAUAUUGGACAAUGGGGGCAAGCCUGAUCCAGCCAUGCCGCGUGAGCGAUGAAGGCCUUAGGGUUGUAAAGCUCUUUUGUCCGGGACGAUAAUGACGGUACCGGAAGAAUAAGCCCCGGCUAACUUCGUG
rnacentral:rRNA from 1 species